rnacentral:lncRNA from 1 species
GCUUGAAGAGAAGGGCACAGAUCCACUAUUCUUCUCUGGUGGAGGGAAAUGACAUGUUGUGCAAUAGCCAAUAUAUUAUCACAACAUUUAGACAUAGAAGCUUUCUAAUUGUCAAAGACGAGUGAAAAUGUACGCUACUCGGAUGACACACAUUGUAUUAACAUGCGUUAUGAGUCGUGAUUCAGUCAGUCAUAGCCUAUGUAUAAUAUUCAGAAUCAUUUAAAUAUGUGUGUGAGUUUAAACACAUGGAAUGUCUGAAAACACACACUCAGAAUAUAUUAUCUAAUUAGACCGUUUUGUGCUAUGCCUUUUCUUGUGCGUCAAAGUCUAGUCCAAAUGCUACUGUCUUCUAAAAUGGCCCCCUAGAAUUCCUUCAUAUGAAAUGUGGUAACGCGUAAACGGCACCAUGUAAACACAGUGGCCAACCGACAGUCAGUGUCUCACGAUCUGCGCACGACACACGUGAGAGAGGAGAAACGCAGAGCUCGUUCACACGCACACAAACGGCGAUCAAAGAUGGAGCGUGCUUCUCUUUGGAUGCCUCAAAUAUAGCCCGCUGUGAUGCAGUCUCCAUGGCUACGGUCGUUUCCUCGGUAACCCCAGCCAUCGUUGCCAUGGAAUCCUUGUUUCCACAGUAACCCCCCAGAUGGCUUGGAAGCUAGAUUGAAGAUUCCCAUCUAAAUAGCUUGUCUACAGUCUCAAACGAGGCUGUUCUGUCAUCAACAGCCUGUGUGCGUAAAAUACGAACCCAAACACGCCCAGCGCCACUAUCCCGAGCCAGCUCACCGAGCCCAGUCAGUGACUUUAACAUUGACACAAAAACAAUUUGGACUGAGGAGGCCUGUUUACAAAUUGCCACCACGAACUGCUCCCUAAAAAUAAAUCAGGCCCAACCCAGAGAGGUGCUAAGCGGGGAGGAGCGAGGGAGAGAGACGACGCGUGAGGAAUUAUGAAUGGACUGGGAGCAAACGGUGUCUGGCUGUCCAGAGUGCGCCACCGCGGGUGCUCGGCAGAGGCUGCUGUUCUCCCACUGAUAAAUUUGGUACAACAUUAUAGAAUUUUCUUCUCCAACCUCCUGAUGACCCCUGAUGACCCCAGUUAGACUGCCUCCCAUUGAGGUAAAUAAACUUGUUUGAUAUGUUUGUAUAAGGACAUGGAUUUACUGACGUUCACUCAUAAUUUAUUUAGACAGGAUGUCCUAAUUUACAGCUGUACAGAUUAUCCCUGAUCUCUGCUUGUCCUGUAGGGGUGCAGUGAGUCUGGUCU